AUAUGAUAGAUUAAACUAUUUAAUCUAUAUUAUAUGCACAAGAUCUAAUAUAAACUAUCAUGUUAGGAUUUAUAAUAUAAUUAAAUAUACAAUCAAAAUCUAAAAUUAAUAAAAACUUGCAUCGAUCACAUCGAUGCUCUAGAUUAGAUCUAACUGUUAGAUCUGAUUUAAUCUGAUCAAAUGAGCUCAGAACUCAUUAUGUUUGCAU
rnacentral:lncRNA from 1 species